UUCCAGACUCCUACGGGAGGCAGCAGUGGGGAAUAUUGCACAAUGGGGGAAACCCUGAUGCAGCAACGCCGCGUGGGUGAAGGAGCGUUUCGGCGCGUAAAGCCCUGUCAGCGGGGAAGAAGAAAGACGGUACCCGACCAAGAAGCCCCGGCUAACUACGUGCCAGCAGCCGCGGUAAUACGUAGGGGGCGAGCGUUAUCCGGAAUUACUGGGUGUAAAGGGAGCGUAGACGGCGAGGUAAGCCUGAAGUGGAAGCCCGCGGCCCAACCGCGGAACUGCUUUGGGAACUGUUUUGCUGGAGUAUGGGAGGGGUAAGCGGAAUUCUUGGUGUAGCGGUGAAAUGCGUAGAUAUCAGGAGGAACACCGGUGGCGAAGGCGGCUUACUGGACUGUAACUGACGUUGAGGCUCGAAAGCGUGGGGAGCAAACAGGAUUAGAUACCCCGGUAC
rnacentral:rRNA from 1 species